AGAGUCAAUGCAAAAGACAACAAGCAAUCCUUGCCGAAUCUGAUAACAGAGCAGAGAUAGACUUUCUGAAAACUCUAGCUAAGAUACCUGGUUCUAAUUGCCGUGAUAGCUAUUGGAUUGGUGGAAAAGAUCGCAAACCGCACAAAAUGGAUUUUGUUUGGACCUCAAGAGAUGUCAGAGUAAAAAUUGGAGCCACUGAUUGGAAUAAUGGUGAACCGAAUAACUAUAAAGACCGCCAAGAAAACUGUAUGGAAAUGCGUAAACAAUUUAAUCAUAAGUGGAACGACAAUACUUGUUCAGAAAGAAAAAAAUAUAUCUGUCAAAAAAGUGCAACACAUGUUUAAGACUAAAACCAAGAAAACGGGAAGAGUACUACUAGUAUAUAAAAUCAUUAUGGACAUUUAGAAAUUAC